AAGUUAGAACAUCAGCUGUUGCUCGCCCCUUUUUCCUACGGACCUUAGUACCGAUUGUGUUAAUUGCGAGCGCCUGUUGGAAUAUCUUGCUUUUUCAAUUCAGUUUCUGCAUCCCAGAGUCUUACAAUGCGGACGUCGCCCGUUACUGCUAGAAUUUGUACGGAACCAUCAUCAGAACCUGCCAUCAGCAAAGUUAAGUCAUGAGAGUUGAUGAAUUCAAGUGCUGUGAUGCGCG